ACAGCAGUAGCCGCGGUAAUACGUAGGGUGCGAGCGUUAAUCGGAAUUACUGGGCGUAAAGCGUGCGCAGGCGGUUGUGUAAGACAGGUGUGAAAUCCCCGGGCUUAACCUGGGAACUGCGCUUGUGACUGUACAGCUAGAGUAUGGCAGAGGGGGGUGGAAUUCCACGUGUAGCAGUGAAAUGCGUAGAGAUGUGGAGGAACACCGAUGGCGAAGGCAGCCCCCUGGGCCAAUACUGACGCUCAUGCACGAAAGCGUGGGGAGCAAACAGGAUUAGAUACCCCUGUAGUCCCUGUCUCUUAUAC
rnacentral:rRNA from 1 species